rnacentral:rRNA from 1 species
GACGAACGCUGGCGGCGUGCCUAAUACAUGCAAGUUGAGCGCUGAAGGUUGGUACUUGUACCCACUGGAUGAGCAGCGAACGGGUGAGUAACGCGUGGGGAAUCUGCCUUUGAGCGGGGGACAACAUUUGGAAACGAAUGCUAAUACCGCAUAAAAACUUUAAACACAAGUUUUAAGUUUGAAAGAUGCAAUUGCAUCACUCAAAGAUGAUCCCGCGUUGUAUUAGCUAGUUGGUGAGGUAAAGGCUCGCCAAGGCGAUGAUACAUAGCCGACCUGAGAGGGUGAUCGGCCACAUUGGGACUGAGACACGGCCCAAACUCCUACGGGAGGCAGCAGCAGGGAAUCUUCGGCAAUGGACGAAAGUCUGACCGAGCAACGCCGCGUGAGUGAAGAAGGUUUUCGGAUCGUAAAGCUCUGUUGGUAGAGAAGAACGUUGGUGAGAGUGGAAAGCUCAUCAAGGGACGGUAACUACCCAGAAAGGGACGGCUAACUACGU